rnacentral:lncRNA from 1 species
GCCGGAGGAGCCGGCCGCCGCCACCCGCCGCCGCACCGGGGAAAUUUCCGACCGCCGAUCGAGUUAAUUUUUCUCUCCCUUGCUCGUUUUUCGACACUGAGUCCGCCUAUGGCAAAACCGGAGCCAAACCACCGGCCAAACGGCUGAAAAACUCAGCCGAAACCCAGCGGCGCUGCCGCGCCCCUCCUCGAUUUUUGCCUCUGAUGAGGCCCUUCCCGGCCUCCGUUUGAUGCAAAUUUUAUACCACUGUGAUCACCGUUCUUUUCUCUAUAGGUUGAUCGGAGCCAAACAUCAAAACGCGACUCACGCCGGAGGAGCCGCCGCACCCGAGAGCACCGCCGCCGGUAAGUUUUAUUUUUUCGUGAUUUUUCGGCCCACGGAGGGCCCUAUGGCGCCGUCGUUGGAGCACGGCAGAAUUGUGAUAUUGGCCGAAAGGGGCCCUAGGUCUAAUUUAGAAUUUUUUGGGACACGUGUAGGUACUAGUAGUGCGUUUCAGCUCAUCGGGAAAAAUUCAGGAAAAAUUAGGGACAGCCUGUAGGCGCACUGUAGAGCCGUAUUCAGACCCCGAAACAAGUAAGGACCCCUCACUCUAUUUCCUAUCACGGUAUUAAAGUUCAAUAAAUGAUAAAACGGUAUUUCAUGAAUCAAUAGAUGUGUGAAAUUGUUUAGGGUCGCUAAUGGAGCCCGAGUCUGGUGUAUUUGUCGGUCAGUUGUUGUUUGUUCUAUUUUAC